UGGGGAAUAUUGGACAAUGGGCGAAAGCCUGAUCCAGCCAUGCCGUGUGUGUGAAGAAGGUCUUCGGAUUGUAAAGCACUUUAAGUUGGGAGGAAGGGCAGUAAGUUAAUACCUUGCUGUUUUGACGUUACCGACAGAAUAAGCACCGGCUAACUCUGUGCCAGCAGCCGCGGUAAUACAGAGGGUGCAAGCGUUAAUCGGAAUUACUGGGCGUAAAGCGCGCGUAGGUGGUUUGUUAAGUUGGAUGUGAAAGCCCCGGGCUCAACCUGGGAACUGCAUCCAAAACUGGCAAGCUAGAGUAUGGUAGAGGGUGGUGGAAUUUCCUGUGUAGCGGUGAAAUGCGUAGAUAUAGGAAGGAACACCAGUGGCGAAGGCGACCACCUGGACUGAUACUGACACU
rnacentral:rRNA from 1 species